ensembl:lncRNA
AGAAGAAAGUAAUUAGCAUGAGAACCGUUGGAAGGUGCAGCUUCAUGAGAAUUUUUCAUGGGAUUUUGUUUUGUUUUGUAUUACUUCUUCCUUGUAAUUAGAUGAAGGGUGAUAGACAUUUCUGGUAUUCUAGGACUAUAACACUGAUCAGGGAGAACAUCAAGUUAAGGAGCUCAUUCACGUCUCCAUAAAGUUAUUAGUUCUCCAAACAAAAUGAACAAAGGAAUUUAUGUCAUGCAAACUGAAUACUGACAACUGUAUUAUUGUUAAAGAUGCAUCAUGUACUGCACUGGGAGGUAAAGAGUUACUGCUACAGUUCUGAGUGCCUGUCCCAGAAGAGAGGAAGAACUACAUACCCUAGGUCAUCAUGCCUCAGCGUUAAGACUGUCCUUGCUUGCAGAGGGGAGCUGGCAGGCCAGAUCAGGAGGGCUGCCAAAGAAAAAUAAGUAGGAGGAGUGCCAAAACAUUUGAAAUGAAUGCAAACCUGUCGUGCCUCUUUAGGUGCAUUUUGCUCUGCAAUGAAGAGAGAGCUGGGAGCCAUAAAACAGGUAUUGGCCUUUCUUCUAUCCUUUUUGUCUUCUGACAGGAACAGUAAAAUGUAUAUUUCUGUAUACUACUUAUACAGAAAAGGAAUUUCAGUAUUUAUACUACUUAAAAGUAACUUACUUUUCAGUUUACGCUAAAUCUUAAAGCUAAGGAGCAAAUCAUGUAUUAUGACCUUUUUUUUACUUUUAUUUUAUUCUAAUUUUUUGUCCAACACGGUGCGUUCUGUUCUUCCUGUAAAUAGGUACUGUACAUAAAAUGCUUGGAAUAAAACCAUAGGGCAUGACAAAUUAGAUACACAAAGUUAAAGGUAAAAGCCAUCAUUUUUCUGAUAGCAGAUGUACACAAGGUGACCAAGAUCCAUGUCUAAGCCACCAUCAGAAGACUUAACAGUACAUUUUCCAGUGUCUAAGAUAAUAAGUUUAGGGUGUUGUGAAGAAAGAUGUUCUACUCUUGUAAAAGGAGCAAGCAGUCUUUACCUUCAGAACUAAAAGCCAGAUAACACAAUCACCUGUAGGGCAGUAUCCUGACAACUAUGGCUCUAGGUGAGAAUUCUAGCUGCAAGGGGAAGGUGCAUGUACACAAUACUUUGUAAACUUCUCUAUGCUUUAUGGAUAAACACCAGAGAUCAGAAAAGAACCCUCAUAUCUGAAUUACCUAUGCAUUUACUCUAAAUAACUGUUUUCUUUAUUAGUGACCAUUAAAGUAUUUUAAAAACAAUGAAGCUUCUUUGACAGAAAAGACAGCAAAAGAUCUUCCAUAAAAUAUUUGUUUCUAGAAAGAAGAAUCGGUGUCUGUCACCAAUGAAUGUUUACUUACAAGAAAAAGUCAAGACGAAAUAUUUCAUCAAUUCAAAUUUACAUCAGUCAGGUCUUUUUAUUACUUGUAAAGAUCCACUUUUCCACCUGCAGUCAAUUCAUUUAACCUGCAUCCCUAUCCUCACAUCACCUUCCAAUCAUAUCUGAUUUUUUUCUUUUUAAUUUUUAGGGCAUUUUUAUUUCUUUUCAUGUUUUAUUGUCAAUAAUAAUUCCAACAUUAUAGUAACCAGAAGAUAGAAUGAAUAUAUUUUCUCUAAUGUGAAACCAAACAGAGUUGUAUGUACAUGUUGAAUCAUUGCCUGAACCUCUGAUUGAUCACCUGAGGUGAGCACUGAGUCAGCCACAGGAGUACAGGUGAAGGCAAUUCACCUGUGUGAUCAGAAGGGGGUAAAGCCUGUCUCCACCUCUCCUAGACCCCAUUUAAGGGCUGACUGCCACUCGGGAAGGAUCUCUUUCUGUAGGUUGUUCCUUUUAGAGUUUUUUUUUUUUUUUUUUUUUCUUCUGUGAGCCUAGGAUGUGGGUGAGCAUUUUCAUUUAUUUUCAACUAUUCCUUUCCAAUGUGAUAAUCUUUCUAGCUGUGUGAUCUGUAGAUACCAGCCUAACCACACCACUCUGUAUAUUUCCUGAUUAUACAAGAGUGAAGGUAAAAAGGACCUUCACUGGUAUUGCUCUGACAUUCUUCAGC